CCUAGUGCAUUUCUCUCAGGUUCUUCCACUUCCUGCUUCCAAGCUGCCAGGAGUUGAGCAGCUACGUUCUGCCGUGCACCUCUGCCGUGAUGCUUCCUCCUUGGAGUCAGCUGACAAUGGACUGAAACUUCUGAAGCCGUGAGCCUAACUAAAUCAUUUCUCACUAAGCUGCAGGGCCAGCACCAGCUCUCAAAUGGUAGAAUUUAUGGCAACUAAGAGCUACACAAUUUUGAAUUGUGUCAAGUCCACAAUCCAUUUAGAUUCUCGAAGAACAAGACAUGCGCUGGGAAUGUAGCUCAGUGGCAGAGCAUUUGCCCGAUGUGUGUGAGGCCCUAGGUUCAGUCCCCAGCACUGCAGAGAAAAGCCACUGGAGCAGCUCCUCCAUUAUAGUCAUACAAUGAAGUAGUACUCUGCCUUAAAGAAGGACAAACUUGAGAAAUAUAUAGCUGAAUGGAACAUCUUGAAGUCAUAAUCUCAAGUGAAAUACAUCAGACAUACAAGUGUGUUUUUAUACAUCCUAAGAGCUAAAGCCCGGAGCAGAGGUGAACGGGUCCAGGAUGUAAUGUGCAGAAUCACAGCAUUCCAACCCUAGGUGUUGAACACCAUUCUAUAUAAUUUUUGGGGAAAAAUCAUUUUAUAAAUAAAAUGUAAUUAGGGCUUGUCAGAGGCCUAGGGUCUUGUCAUGUGGGCGGGCUAUAGUUUGCGGGAAUGUAAUUCUGUGUGCCUCCGGUCACAGCCUCGAUGGUCCUGUAAUGUUGUGAUGCCCCAGGGCGAGGCUGCACCAGCUGAAGACAUCCUGGUUCCUGAGAACCCAAUAGCAAUAGAGUUUCAGCUUGGGGAAGAGACAAACUCCUUACUCUGCCAUCUCUCCCCAGUCCUCAUCCAUGUAAAGAUCCUUAUUAGCAUAAGGUCGCCACCAACCUCUGAGUCAUCUGAUAAUCCCUCCGGGAAUUGUGCACACCCAUAAAUGGUGGCUAGCCCAGAGUGUCAUGGUCUUUGCCCAGCCUGAGGCACUGACCUUCCAGCAACGCCCCCAUCACACAUUACUGAAUUUGUCUCUGUUUCUUAUUUCAUACUUUUGCCGUACCCCUCACUAGGCAGAUCGGGGGACUGACUCCUCCACUCCCCCAUAGCUGGGCCCUCUUGGUGACUGACUGGUGUAGCAGGUACUGGAAGAGUCCAGUUAACCUGCUCAGGAGUGGUUCCUAACUAUGCAAAUGACUUGAACAAGGUCUCUGAAAGAGCGUUUUUUUACAGUCUGUAGGCCACAGGCCAGAAGAGUUUGGGAAUUGCUUUGUCUUUUUGAGAGUCCUCGGUAGGACUGCAUCCCUCUUACCCACAGCAGAUUUUCACAUGCCUUA